rnacentral:rRNA from 1 species
AUUCCAGCUCCAAUAGCGUAUAUUAAAGUUGUUGCAGUUAGAACGCUCGUAGUCGGAUUUCGGGGCGGUCCGACCGGUCUGCCGAUGGGUACGCACUGGUCGGAGCGUCCUUCCUGCCGGAGACCGUGCCUACUCUUAACUGAGCGGGGGCGGGAGACGGCACUUUUACUUUGAAAAAAUCAGAGUGUUUCAAGCAGGCAGCUCGCUCUUGCAUGGAUUAGCAUGGGAUAAUGAAAUAGGACUUUGGUGCUAUUUUGUUGGUUUCGAACACCGAAGUAAUGAUGAGAAGGGACAGUCAGGGGCACUCGUAUUCCGCAGAGAGAGGUGAAAUUCUCAGACCCGCGGAAGACGAACCACUGCGAAAGCAUUUGCCAGGGACGUUUUCAUCG